rnacentral:rRNA from 1 species
UACGUAGGGUGCGAGCGUUAAUCGGAAUUACUGGGCGUAAAGCGUGCGCAGGCGGCUUGUUAAGACAGAUGUGAAAUCCCCGGGCUUAACCUGGGAAUGGCGUUUGUAACUGGCAAGCUAGAGUGUGUCAGAGGGAGGUAGAAUUCCACGUGUAGCAGUGAAAUGCGUAGAGAUGUGGAGGAAUACCGAUGGCGAAGGCAGCCUCCUGGGAUAACACUGACGCUCAGGCACGAAAGCGUGGGGAGCAAACAGG